GAUGAAGAACGCAGCGAAAUGCGAUAAGUAAUGCGAAUUGCAGAAUUUCCGUGAGCCAUCGAAUCUUUGAACGCACAUUGCGCCCACUGGUAUUCCGGUGGGCAUGCCUGUUCGAGCGUCAUUAUCCUCCCUCAAACCUCGGGUUUGGUGUUGGACCCAAGUUGUGUGAACAACUGGUCUCAAAGACAAUGACGGCGUCCGUGGGACCCUCGGUGCAACGAGCUUUUAAACGAGCACGCGUCGAGUUUCAAGGACCUUCCGGGCCGGUCUCCUUCUUUUUAUUUACAAAGGUUGACCUCGGAUCAGGUAGGAAUACCCGCUGAACUUAAGCAUAUCAAUAAGCGGAGGA
rnacentral:misc_RNA from 1 species